rnacentral:misc_RNA from 1 species
GAUGAAGAACGCAGCGAAAUGCGAUAAGUAAUGUGAAUUGCAGAAUUCAGUGAAUCAUCGAGUCUUUGAACGCACAUUGCGCCCCCUGGUAUUCCGGGGGGCAUGCCUGUCCGAGCGUCAUUGCUGCCCUCAAGCACGGCUUGUGUGUUGGGCCUCCGUCCUCCUCCCGGGGGACGGGCCCGAAAGGCAGCGGCGGCACCGCGUCCGGUCCUCGAGCGUAUGGGGCUUCGUCACCCGCUCUUGUAGGCCCGGCCGUCGCUUGCCGACACAUCAAUCUUUUUUCCAGGUUGACCUCGGAUCAGGUAGGGAUACCCGCUGAACUUAAGCAUAUCAAUAAGCGGAGGA